rnacentral:rRNA from 1 species
CAGUAGCCGCGGUAAUACGUAGGUGGCAAGCGUUGUCCGGAAUUAUUGGGCGUAAAGGGCUCGCAGGCGGUUUCUUAAGUCUGAUGUGAAAGCCCCCGGCUCAACCGGGGAGGGUCAUUGGAAACUGGGAAACUUGAGUGCUGAAGAGGAGAGUGGAAUUCCACGUGUAGCGGUGAAAUGCGUAGAGAUGUGGAGGAACACCAGUGGCGAAGGCGACUCUCUGGUCUGUAACUGACGCUGAGGAGCGAAAGCGUGGGGAGCGAACAGGAUUAGAUACCCCAGUAGUCCCUGUCUCUUAUAC